rnacentral:rRNA from 1 species
GGUAACGACCAUACCACGUUGAAUAAUACCGGUUUCCUUCCGAUCACCGAAGUUAAACAACGUCGGGUGCGGAUGGUACUUGGAUGGGUGACCGCUUGGGAACACCGCGUGCCGUUGUCUUUU